UAUGUUAUAGUAUUGUUGUGGUA
rnacentral:siRNA from 1 species